UUCACGGUUUAAUUGGUAUCUGGCGAAAGUGGUUUCGUUAAAAAGUAACUGGUUACACGUAUUCUAAAUUUUGCAUAUUUUUGUAUUAAUUUAAUCCCUGUACAAUUCCGAGCAUGGAGAACCAAAAACAUAUGGUGGUAUAGGGGAGGGAGACAUCACCACUCGUUAUACAUAAAAAUAUUAAAAUUCACAAAAUUCUAAUUUAGAAAAUAUCAUAUUUUUUUGUAUUAAAAGUUGAUAAGGAGUAAAAUGCUUUGGUAUUGAAGACAAGAGGAAAUUAUUUGAAAUGACUUUUUCUAAAAUUUGGCCAUCUAUUUUCUUGCCACCUUGUACGAUUCGAAACCGGAACUGGAUUGUCCUACGAGCAACAGCCUUCACCCCAGCCUUGGAGGAUAGAAAAAAUAAAGUCAAAUGAUUCGGGUGGAAUUUCAGCGAUUUGCACACAGAUGAAUCACAGGACGAAGAAAAGGGAGACAGUUUCGACGAAAAAAUGCAGUAAUAGGGAGAAAGGAAUGGCCUUGCAUCGGAGGAUAUUUCGAAUUGAUUCGACGCUGAGAGCACGUAUAUUAUGAAAGAGGAAAUACAAUUCCCGGAAUGAUCAAUAAGAAGACGAUAACAGCCAGUGUUAAAGUGAAGUAAUAUUGAAAGGUGUCCU